rnacentral:tRNA from 1 species
GGCAGUGAGGGGUCCUUUUCCCCCGUAGACGAGGCUACAACUCGUCGCCUGGUCUCGGCCACACCUACC